rnacentral:tRNA from 2 species
GCUCAAGUAGCUCAGUAGGUAGAGCACCUCCUUGGUAAGGAGGAGGUCACCGGUUCAAGUCCGGUCUUGAGCUCCA